CGCGGGGUGGAGCAGUCUGGUAGCUCGCGAGGCUCAUAACCUCGAGGUCGCAGGUUCGAAUCCUGUCCCCGCCAC
rnacentral:tRNA from 2 species